UCGCGUAACACGUAGGCAACCUGCCUCGAAGUGGGGGACAACAGCCCGAAAGGGUUGCUAAUACCGCAUGUGGAUGUUUGGUGGCAUCACCGAUCAUCUAAAGCCUUGUGCGCUUCGAGAUGGGCUUGCGGCCUAUCAGGUAGUUGGUGGGGUAAUGGCCUACCAAGCCGACGACGGGUAGCUGGUCUGAGAGGACGAUCAGCCGGAUUGGGACUGAGAUACGGCCCAGACUCCUACGGGGGGCAGCAAUUAGGAAUCUUGCGCAAUGGGGGAAACCCUGACGCAGCGACAGCCGCGUGCGGGAUGACG
rnacentral:rRNA from 1 species